AGAGUUUGAUCCUGGCUCAGGACGAACGCUGGCGGCGUGCCUAAUACAUGCAAGUAGAACGCUGAAGACUGGUGCUUGCACUAGUCAGAUGAGUUGCGAACGGGUGAGUAACGCGUAGGUAACCUACCUCAUAGCGGGGGAUAACUAUUGGAAACGAUAGCUAAUGCCGCAUGACAAUUAAGUACUCAUGUACUAAAUUUAAAAGGAGCAAUUGCUUCACUAUGAGAUGGACCUGCGUUGUAUUAGCUAGUUGGUGAGGUAACGGCUCACCAAGGCCACGAUACAUAGCCGACCUGAGAGGGUGAUCGGCCACACUGGGACUGAGACACGGCCCAGACUCCUACGGGAGGCAGUAGUAGGGAAUCUUCGGCAAUGGGGGCAACCCUGACCGAGCAACGCCGCGUGAGUGAAGAAGGUUUUCGGAUCGUAAAGCUCUGUUGUUAGAGAAGAACGGUAAUGGGAGUGGAAAAUCCAUUACGUGACGGUAACUAACCAGAAAGGGACGGCUAACUACGUGCCAGCAGCCGCGGUAAUACGUAGGUCUCGAGCGUUGUCCGGAUUUAUUGGGCGUAAAGCGAGCGCAGGCGGUUAUUUAAGUCUGAAGUUAAAGGCCGUGGCUCAACCAUGGUUCGCUUUGGAAACUGGAUAACUUGAGUGCAGAAGGGGAGAGUGGAAUUCCAUGUGUAGCGGUGAAAUGCGUAGAUGUAUGGAGGAACACCGGUGGCGAAAGCGGCUCUCUGGUCUGUAACUGACGCUGAGGCUCGAAAGCGUGGGGAGCAAACAGGAUUAGAUACCCUGGUAGUCCACGCCGUAAACGAUGAGUGCUAGGUGUUAGGCCCUUUCCGGGGCUUAGUGCCGCAGCUAACGCAUUAAGCACUCCGCCUGGGGAGUACGACCGCAAGGUUGAAACUCAAAGGAAUUGACGG
rnacentral:rRNA from 1 species